GGGUUAGUCAGGUAACCAUGACGACACAUUUUGAAAGUUGGUGCUAGAGUCCCGAAAGUCCUUGUGUGCACUCCUGGCAUGCCUUCGCGCCCGUUUGCGAAGUUUGGUGGCUUUAGCGGCUUCCUCUGGUUAUGGCUGUCAUUGACACCCAUUGCUUUGGGUUGGCGGCCUCGUGCCGGCCAGGGUUGGUCAGGUAACCAUCUCGACACAUUUUGAAAGUUGUUGCUGGAGUUCCGAAAGUCUGUGUGUGCACUCCUGGCAUGCCUUCGUGCUUGUGUGCGAUGUUUGGAGGCUUUAGCGGCUUCCUCUGGUUAUGGCUGUCAUUGACACCCAUUGCUUUGGGAUGGCGGCCUCGGGCCGGCCAGGGUUGGUCAGGUAACCAUGACGACACAUUUUGAAAGUUGGUGCUAGAGUCCCGAAAGUCCUUGUGUGCACUCCUGGCAUGCCUUCGCGCCCGUUUGCGAAGUUUGGUGGCUUUAGCGGCUUCCUCUGGUUAUGGCUGUCAUUGACACCCAUUGCUUUGGGUUGGCGGCCUCGUGCCGGCCAGGGUUGGUCAGGUAACCAUCUCGACACAUUUUGAAAGUUGUUGCUGGAGUUCCGAAAGUCUGUGUGUGCACUCCUGGCAUGCCUUCGUGCUUGUGUGCGAUGUUUGGAGGCUUUAGCGGCUUCCUCUGGUUAUGGCUGUCAUUGACACCCAUUGCUUUGGGAUGGCGGCCUCGG